CCUACGGGUGGCAGCAGUGAGGAAUAUUGGUCAAUGGACGAGAGUCUGAACCAGCCAAGCAGCGUGAAGGAUGACUGCCCUAUGGGUUGUAAACUUCUUUUAUAUGGGAAUAAAAUGUUCCACGUGUGGGAUUUUGUAUGUACCAUAUGAAUAAGGAUCGGCUAACUCCGUGCCAGCAGCCGCGGUAAUACGGAGGAUCCGAGCGUUAUCCGGAUUUAUUGGGUUUAAAGGGAGCGUAGGUGGAUUGUUAAGUCAGUUGUGAAAGUUUGCGGCUCAACCGUAAAAUUGCAGUUGAAACUGGCAGUCUUGAGUACAGUAGAGGUGGGCGGAAUGCGUGGUGUAGCGGUGAAAUGCUUAGAUAUCACGAAGAACUCCGAUUGCGAAGGCAGUUCACUGGACUGCAACUGACACUGAGGCUCGAAAGUGUGGGUAUCAAACAGGAUUAGAUACCCCAGUAGUC
rnacentral:rRNA from 1 species